rnacentral:lncRNA from 1 species
GUCUUGCUGGAGAUUCCUGUGCCUUCCAAAGAACACCAAGAACUCAGAGAACAAUCAUCCGGGGCCGGCAUGUUUUUCCUUUCUAAGCGGGCUGUCUAUGCUAAUGGCUUGCAACUUGUCAACAGGAACCAAAUUCCCAUGGUGUCUGAAGGCAGAAACCAUGGCAUCUUGGCAUGUUUCACCACGCUCCAAUCAAUCACCUCUGAAAACAACACUGUGAGAGAGAGAGAUUGGUUGGAUGGGAUGGAUGGAAAACCAGAAUUUAUUCCCCGUUUCCUUUCUCCUCCUGCCACAGUGUACAUAACUGCAGCAGUUGUAUAAAUUGUUUAGGGAAGAGGAUCUCACUCCUCUGUAUGCAGGGGUUUGGGUCCCAGUUCUGAUGGGCCGGUAGUAAGGUUCUUUUAUGCCAUAUAUUUAUGAUGGGUGUCUUGAGAUUUCUUUAUGACUUGGAAACGUUUAUGGUGGAAGAACAGAUGCCGACCUCUAUUGCUUUUCAUCAUCUAUUUUAAGAACAGAAUGCGAUAUAAUUAAGUAUAAUAUUAAUUUAACAACAUUUAGAAUCUUCUGCCAGAAACACACGCGGUGACGUAAUAGUGGAGUGAUGUGGUGGUGGAAUACACUCACUAAGAGAAUAGUGUGUUUGGGCAUGUCUUCAUCAGAUAAUGUUUCCCUAGCAAUUUGGUUCAGCCUGUAGCCAACUUGAUUUGUAAACCAGGAGGUGGUCAGAUGGAGACUGCACAUUUUGCAUCAGAUAAUGUGUACGUAAAUGUUCCAAUAUUCCAUCUGCUCUUGUUAUUUCUGACACCAGUCGCCAUCAGUAAAGCAAUAUUUGCUGGCCGGGGCUGUCCAGGUGCUCCCUGAGAUAACAUAGUCCGUCCUUAUAAUAUAAACUGGCAAAUAUCUGGGCUGUUUCCAGACACAACUGUGUGGGAUCUCCUGAUAGAAGCUGACUAUUUUUAAAAUACAUGUGCUAUAUAUAUAUAGAAUGCCAAACAACUCACAAAUAAGCUGAGACCUUAAAUAACUGGGUCCAUAUGUAUGUAUAUUUAUUCUACCCACUCUUCACACCAAAAUAUCUGUAUUUGCUGGCUUAGCAAUCAUUGCUCAACUACUUAAAGGUUUUUUUAUCUUUCUACCACACCUGCUAACAUGGAGUUUGCUUUAAAAAGAUUGUUCU